GUGCAUUUGUAUGGUCUGGAGAAGCUUACUUGUCUUAUAGUUUAGCUGCUUUAUCUGUAUUUGGUUUUAUCGCUUGUUGUUUUGUAUUGUUCAAUAAUACAGCUUAUCUGAGUGAGUUUUAUGGACCCACUAGGCCAGAAGCUUCUCAAGCUCAAGCUUUUACUCUUCUAG
rnacentral:rRNA from 1 species